GAUAAACGCUGGCGGCGUGCCUAAUACAUGCAAGUCGAGCGAACGGACGAGAAGCUUGCUUCUCUGAUGUUAGCGGCGGACGGGUGAGUAACACGUGGAUAACCUACCUAUAAGACUGGGAUAACUUCGGGAAACCGGAGCUAAUACCGGAUAAUAUUUUGAACCGCAUGGUUCAAAAGUGAAAGACGGUCUUGCUGUCACUUAUAGAUGGAUCCGCGCUGCAUUAGCUAGUUGGUAAGGUAACGGCUUACCAAGGCAACGAUGCAUAGCCGACCUGAGAGGGUGAUCGGCCACACUGGAACUGAGACACGGUCCAGACUCCUACGGGAGGCAGCAGUAGGGAAUCUUCCGCAAUGGGCGAAAGCCUGACGGAGCAACGCCGCGUGAGUGAUGAAGGUCUUCGGAUCGUAAAACUCUGUUAUUAGGGAAGAACAUAUGUGUAAGUAACUGUGCACAUCUUGACGGUACCUAAUCAGAAAGCCACGGCUAACUACGUGCCAGCAGCCGCGGUAAUACGUAGGUGGCAAGCGUUAUCCGGAAUUAUUGGGCGUAAAGCGCGCGUAGGCGGUUUUUUAAGUCUGAUGUGAAAGCCCACGGCUCAACCGUGGAGGGCCAUUGGAAACUGGAAAACUUGAGUGCAGAAGAGGAAAGUGGAAUUCCAUGUGUAGCGGUGAAAUGCGCAGAGAUAUGGAGGAACACCAGUGGCGAAGGCGACUUUCUGGUCUGUAACUGACGCUGAUGUGCGAAAGCGUGGGGAUCAAACAGGAUUAGAUACCCUGGUAGUCCACGCCGUAAACGAUGAGUGCUAAGUGUUAGGGGGUUUCCGCCCCUUAGUGCUGCAGCUAACGCAUUAAGCACUCCGCCUGGGGAGUACGACCGCAAGGUUGAAACUCAAAGGAAUUGACGGGGACCCGCACAAGCGGUGGAGCAUGUGGUUUAAUUCGAAGCAACGCGAAGAACCUUACCAAAUCUUGACAUCCUUUGACAACUCUAGAGUUAGAGCCUUCCCCUUCGGGGGACAAAGUGACAGGUGGUGCAUGGUUGUCGUCAGCUCGUGUCGUGAGAUGUUGGGUUAAGUCCCGCAACGAGCGCAACCCUUAAGCUUAGUUGCCAUCAUUAAGUUGGGCACUCUAAGUUGACUGCCGGUGACAAACCGGAGGAAGGUGGGGAUGACGUCAAAUCAUCAUGCCCCUUAUGAUUUGGGCUACACACGUGCUACAAUGGACAAUACAAAGGGCAGCGAAACCGCGAGGUCAAGCAAAUCCCAUAAAGUUGUUCUCAGUUCGGAUUGUAGUCUGCAACUCGACUACAUGAAGCUGGAAUCGCUAGUAAUCGUAGAUCAGCAUGCUACGGUGAAUACGUUCCCGGGUCU
rnacentral:rRNA from 1 species